rnacentral:rRNA from 1 species
UACGUAGGGCGCAAGCGUUGUCCGGAAUUAUUGGGCGUAAAGAGCUUGUAGGCGGUUUGUCGCGUCUGCUGUGAAAAUCCGGGGCUCAACCCCGGACUUGCAGUGGGUACGGGCAGACUAGAGUGUGGUAGGGGAGACUGGAAUUCCUGGUGUAGCGGUGAAAUGCGCAGAUAUCAGGAGGAACACCGGUGGCGAAGGCGGGUCUCUGGGCCGAUACUGACGCUGGAGGAGCGAAAGCGUGGGGAGCGAACAGG